UACGGAGGGUGCAAGCGUUAUCCGGAUUCACUGGGUUUAAAGGGUGCGUAGGCGGGUAAGUAAGUCCGUGGUGAAAUCUCUGAGCUUAACUCAGAAACUGCCGUGGAUACUAUUUGCCUUGAAUAUUGUGGAGGUGAGCAGAAUAUGUCAUGUAGCGGUGAAAUGCUUAGAUAUGACAUAGAACACCAAUUGCGAAGGCAGCUCACUACACAAUCAUUGACGCUGAGGCACGAAAGCGUGGGGAUCAAACAGG
rnacentral:rRNA from 1 species